GUACCUACAGGGAUGCCCCAAGAGUUACAUACCUUCCCUGUUAGUCACACACUCUUUGGAGAAUAACACCUUGAAAAAGGCAAGGCCUCUCCUUCCCUCAUUUCAAAGAGGCAGAGGGGGACAUAAAGGUCAUUGUCCUGAGCUCCAGAAGAUCGAGCAGAAGUGACCAACAGAAAGAGGGCCUUUCACAGGCUCCUUAAUGAAAACUGAAGCCCACUGGAAAAGUGAAGAGAAUCUCUGCAAUAAAAGCACACCAGA
rnacentral:lncRNA from 1 species